AAAAAUCUUGAAUAUAUGAAUAACAUUUAAUUUAAAUAUUAUUCGCUAUAAAUUAAUUAUUGAUAUCGAUUGUUAACGUUAGAGGUUUUUUUUAAUAUAAGUAAUUAUUUUAUUGAAAAUAAACCAGGAAAAGACCUGGAUUUGAUAAACUGCACUUCCAUGGGAUUGAUUUGGUGCUCUUCUCCUUUGGUAACACGUCGGACUGACUCACCAUGGGACACCGUCACAAUUCAGUCCCUACCCUGAAAGCGUCGGUAU
rnacentral:misc_RNA from 1 species